UACGUAGGGGGCAAGCGUUGUCCGGAAUCAUUGGGCGUAAAGAGCGUGUAGGCGGCCAGAUAAGUCCGCUGUGAAAUCUCGAGGCUCAACUUCGAGAUGUCAUCGGAAACCAUCUGGCUAGAGUCCGGAAGAGGAAAGUGGAAUUCCUGGUGUAGCGGUGAAAUGCGCAGAUAUCAGGAAGAACACCAAUGGCGAAAGCAGCUUUCUGGGACGGUACUGACGCUGAGACGCGAAAGCGUGGGGAGCGAACAGG
rnacentral:rRNA from 1 species